ensembl:lncRNA
GAUAUGUGCAUGUGUAGGCUUGUAUGCAAGUAAAAUAUUUGAAUGCAUAUUCCUUGAUAAGUAUGGGUAUACAUUAUGUUGUAAUUCAACUGAGAUGUAAUGAGUACAUGCUAUGAGCCAAACAUUUAACUAGUAGUUGUGAUGUAGCAGCAACUCGGUGUAAUCUUAGAUCACAUCAGUCUGUCAUCUGGUGGGAGACAGAAUAAACAGAGAAUUACUUGUAUGAAUGUGUUUCUUUUAGGAAGUUGCAUAUUGGUGCAAAUAUAAACCUAACUGGAUAUAUGGAACACAUAACCCGCAUUGAUUUAUCCAUUCACUCAACAAGGCUAUCUUUAGAAGUAUAUCAAUUCCUGGUUCAGGGGCAAACAUCCUCUUAUUGUGGAUUCUAUAUUUGAAUAAAUUCAGAAAGAUGUGCAAUAUUUUCCAAGACUGAACUUCCACACAUGUUCAUCUGUAACCCAGUCCCCCGCAGUUAGUAGAUAAGUGACUUUGAGCACAUUAUUUAACCUCUACUUAAUCUCAUCUGUGAAAUAGAGGAUAAUGAUGCCUACCUCUUAGGGUUUCUAUUAGGAUUAAGAAAUACAUUGUAUGUUAAAAGCUUAGCUCAAGCACAUUGGAAGACCUCAAUCCCUGCCAGCUAUUAUUACUCAGCAUGGGGGUGGAGGAGUGGCAGGCCAGCAGCAAUUACACUCUGACGUUUUUUCUACUGGAGAUAUGUUAGAGACAACCUCCAGGUUCUUCAAGUCAUUAUCUCUCUCAGGGAGGAGCACAGAGACAAAACAUGAAUGGGGUCAGAAAAGGUACUAUCUGCCUCAUUGUUCUAAGUGUCACUCUCCAUUAGCAUAAAGUUAGCACUCCAGGUGGGCGAGAAACACUUCUCUGUUUCCAGAAAACUAGAAAUGUUCUUUUUCUUGAGCAUGCCUGGUUUCAGAAUGGAAACUGUGACAAAAUACCAAGCAGAGCCCUGGAUGACAGGUGAAUGGGUCCAGAACAACUCUCAAGAGAAGAGGAACACUCCUUUCAUCUCACGGUUACUGAAGUUCGUAGCCAAGUGUCAUCCUGGGAGUGCAAGAGAAGGCAGCUGUCAGGGAGAGCAGAAGGAGGGGCGUAGGAUGCACCUGUCCAGAGCCCGAGGUGGCUUCCCCUCCUGCGUCCUGCUUCUCCAGCAACAGAGGGGCCUAUUUUGUGCCUCAAGCAUGAAAAAGGAAGAGGACAGUCUGGUUCAAUCUGAAUAACUGAACGUGAAAAUAGAUACUCUUCUUGGCUAGAAGAUUUCUGCUGAUUCUCACAAAUCACAAUGUAAUUUUUACUUUUGAGUGAAAAUUCAGCUCUUUCAGGAAGAGGCAAGAAUGUGAAUAAGGUGAGGUCUUGCAUCAGAACCCCGGGUUUCAUCCAAACUUCAUGGGAAUUCUUGUCUUCAGUCAGAACCUUUUGGGGAAGAGAUUUUUUUUUUUUUUUGAGUGACUGGUCAUGUCCUGAGCAGGUAGAUGUUAUAGCAGAUGUGUACUCAGGGAUGGCAGAUUUCCAACCUUGAUAAAAACCUAUUUGUUGAAUGGAUUAGUGUGUAUAAACUCAGCCCACUUCCUACACAAUAUUCAAUAAACACACCACCUUGACACA